GCCACUGUGGCGGAAUUGGUAGACGCGUGGGUCUCAAAAACCCAUGAGCCUUAAAACUCGUGUCGGUUCGAUUCCGACCAGUGGCA
rnacentral:tRNA from 1 species